rnacentral:rRNA from 1 species
AUUGAACGCUGGCGGCAGGCCUAACACAUGCAAGUCGAGCGGAUGAAGGGAGCUUGCUCCUGGAUUCAGCGGCGGACGGGUGAGUAAUGCCUAGGAAUCUGCCUGUAGUGGGGGAUAACGUCCGGAAACGGGCGCUAAUACCGCAUACGUCCUGAGGGAGAAAGUGGGGGGUCUUCGGACCUCACGCUAUCAGAUGAGCCUAGGUCGGAUUAGCUAGUUGGUGGGGUAAAGGCCUACCAAGGCGACGAUCCGUAACUGGUCUGAGAGGAUGAUCAGUCACACUGGAACUGAGACACGGUCCAGACUCCUACGGGAGGCAGCAGUGGGGAAUAUUGGACAAUGGGUGAAAGCCUGAUCCAGCCAUGCCGCGUGUGUGAAGAAGGUCUUCGGAUUGUAAAGCACUUUAAGUUGGGAGGAAGGGCAGUAAGUUAAUACCUUGCUGUUUUGACGUUACCAACAGAAUAAGCACCGGCUAACUUCGUG